rnacentral:rRNA from 1 species
UACGUAGGUGGCAAGCGUUGUCCGGAUUUAUUGGGUUUAAAGGGUGCGUAGGCGGCCUUAUAAGUCAGUGGUGAAAUACUCCAGCUUAACUGGAGGGGUGCCAUUGAUACUGCAAGGCUUGAGUGGAGUCGAGGUAGGCGGAAUUGACGGUGUAGCGGUGAAAUGCUUAGAUAUCGUCAAGAACACCGAUAGUGUAGACAGCUUACUAGGCUCAUACUGACGCUGAGGCACGAAAAGUGUGGGGGGAUCAAAACAGG